rnacentral:rRNA from 1 species
GCAGUAUUCUAGUAAUAGAUGCGAAAGGCUCAGUAACACGUCGCUAAUCUGCCCUAAGGUCAGGAAUAACUACGGGAAACUGUGGCUAAUACCUGAUAAGGAACAAAUACUGGAAUGUAUUGUUCUCUAAACUCGAGCCUUAGGAUGAGGUGGCGGCCGAUUAGGUUGUUGGCGGUGUAAUGGACCACCAAGCCGAAGAUCGGUACGGGCCAUGAGAGUGGUAGCCCGGAGAGGGACACUGAGAUACUGGUCCCAGCCCUACGGGGUGCAGCAGGCGCGAAACCUUUACAAUGCACGCAAGUGUGAUAAGGGGAUCCCAAGUGCUCAAGUAAUGCUUGGGCUUUUGUUAUGUGUAAAUAGCAUAGCGAAUAAGUGGUGGGAAAGACUGGUGCCAGCCGCCGCGGUAACACCAGCGCCACAAGUGGCAAUCGCGAUUAUUGGGCCUAAAGCGUCCGUAGCAGGUUUUGUAGAUCUCUUGUGAAAGUGACAGGCCUAACCUGUCAGAGUGCAGGGGAAACUGCAAAACUUGGGACCGGGAGGGGUAUGAGGUAUUCCUGAGGGAGCGGUAAAAUGCUAUAAUCUCAGGAGGACCACCUGUGGCGAAGGCGUCAUACCAGAACGGAUCCGACUGUGAGGGACGAAAGCUAGGGGAGCGAACCGGAUUAGAUACCCGGGUAGUCCCAGCCGUAAACGAUGCUCGCUAGGUGUCUGGGAUGGUGCGACCGUUUCAGGUGCCGCAGGGAAGCCGUGAAGCGAGCCACCUGGGAAGUACGGCCGCAAGGCUGAAACUUAAAGGAAUUGGCGGGGGAGCACUACAACGGGUGGAGCCUGCGGUUUAAUUGGACUCAACGCCGGAAAACUCACCUGGGGCGACAGCAAUAUGUAGGUCAGGCUGAAGGUCUUACCUGAAUCGCUGAGAGGAGGUGCAUGGCCGUCGUCAGUUCGUACUGUGAAGCAUCCUGUUAAGUCAGGCAACGAGCGAGACCCGUGCCCACUGUUGCCAGCAUAUCCUUCGGGAUGAUGGGUACUCUGUGGGGACCGCCGGUGCUAAACCGGAGGAAGGUGCGGGCUACGGUAGGUCAGUAUGCCCCGAAUCUCCAGGGCUACACGCGGGCUACAAUGGACGGGACAAUGGGUUUCAACAUCGAAAGAUGAAGGUAAUCCCGAAACCUGGUCAUAGUUCGGAUUGAGGGUUGAAACUCACCCUCAUGAAGCUGGAAUCCGUAGUAAUCGCGGAUCAACAUCCCGCGGUGAAUAUGCCCCUGCUCCUUGCACACACCGCCCGUCAAACCAUGCGAGUUGGGUCAAAGUGAGGAUGUAG